rnacentral:rRNA from 1 species
CCAUUUAAAGUGGUACGCGAGCUGGGUUUAGAACGUCGUGAGACAGUUCGGUCCCUAUCUGCCGUGGGCGUUUGAGAUUUGAGAAGAGCUGCUCCUAGUACGAGAGGACCGGAGUGGACGAACCUCUGGUGUUCCGGUUGUCACGCCCGUGGCAUUGCCGGGUAGCUACGUUCGGACGGGAUAAACGCUGAAAGCAUCUAAGCGUGAAGCCUCCUUCAAGAUGAGAUCUCACUGGAACUUCGAGUUCCCUGUAGGGCCCUGGAAGACUACCAGGUUGAUAGGUCAGGUGUGUAAGCGUUGUGAGGCGUUGAGCUAACUGAUACUAAUUGCCCGUGAGGCUUGACCAU